CGACGGUGGUGGCGCGUGGAUCGAAGGGCUUUGGGCCAGCCCAAUGUCAACGCCAUCAUGAUUACUGCCGAUAUCGCAAUGUCGCCAUGUUUAGAUGGACUGCCACGGACUGCUGCGGCGGCUGCCGGGACUGUUUUUCUCGAGGCCAGAGUUGUCACAGUAAACGGAUCAGGCUUGCCAGUGACCAUGUGUCCUGACAAUCAUCGCAAAGCAUCACUACCUACCCCUAGCAAAGUGUGGUGUGCAAGUGUGACCAACCACCGUUUCAAUGCAGGAAGGACACUGCCUGAAGAGUUCUUGUAGAUAUGAAACAUUUCAUGGGUAUGGCAGUUGACCGCUUUUCGUGGGAGUGAUGCAGAUCUUGGAGCGUCCAAUAUGUUAGGCAUGACAUGAUUUGUUUAUGGUGUGAAUACUUAUGGCCACAAUUCUUGACAAUGGCAUCUGUGAACACAAUAGGCCAGUCUUGACACAGGAAACUGACCAGCUUGUCAGUGAUCAUGAUUCCCGACACAAAGCAUCCCUACCAACCUCUAGGUAAGUUCUAGAGCUUUGAAAUCUUGUGCCAAAAGUGAACUGUGAUGAUUAGUAGAGCAAUCCAACACCGAAGUAUACUUGAGGAGAACUAAAUUUUGCUGAUUUUGUUUGCAUUGAGGUUAUAAAUUUAAAUGCCUUUGUGUAUGUUAAAUAUCUUUGUCUUUUGCUUUCAGCAUGGUGUGGUGUGCAAGUGUGACCACCCUUUCAAAUAAGGUGAGUGUAGAAUUCUUUUGAUCUGGACUAGAUCGAAAUGUAUUGUGAAAAUAGGUUGUAGGUGAUGAAAAAUACUGAGAUCCAACACUGAUAAGAAAUGAGUUGAUUAUUCAGCCACUGAUUUUUGCAAUGCUUGGGCUUUGUAAGGAAGGACACUUCCAGAAGAGUUGAUAGAUUUGAUACAUUUCAGGGGUUUGAAGGCAAUGGACCAUGCAGCGGAAUGUGCGGAACCCUGUUGGUGAGAUUCUUGGACAACUUAUGCUUACUCUUUUUUUUUUUUUUUGAAAUAAUCCAAUGCAGUUUCACCAAGUUUUUUGUUCCUUUCAGCAUUCUUGCUCCAGCACAUCUACAAGAACUAAGCAGUUCCGUGGAAGUCACCUUCUUCACUGAAGAUCCUGUUUCUGCAGAUAGUUGUGGCGAUUCUCGAAGGCACAUCGGUCCCAAUUUAUACAGGCAUAUCGGCGGCUGACUGACGAACAGUGCAUGGAAGUGUUUCCUAGUCAUCGGGAGAGGUGGCGCAUCCAGAAGGUGGUCGGAGCCUUGGAGAUGUAUCCAACGCAGACCAUCCGUGGCAUGGCUCAACUCAUUGGCAUGUCUAAGACUCGUGUGUACGAGACACUCAGAGAUGCUUUUUCCAAGCUUGAAGAUUAUGGUUAUGAUUGAAUUACCAUUGUUGCCAAAGAUGUAAAUAAAAGAUACUGAGUAAUGGUAUGUUCA
rnacentral:lncRNA from 1 species